GUGUUGUUAAUGUCUCUAGGACGGUCUCUGCUGUUCUCUGGUGACGUGGAACCAUGACAACCUGAGUGUCGUUAAUGUCUCUAGGACGGUCUCUGCUGUUCUCUGGUGACGUGGAACCAUGACAACCUGAGUGUCGUUAAUGUCUCUAGGACGGUCUCUGCUGUUCUCUGGUGACGUGGAACCAUGACAACCUGAGUGUCGUUAAUGUCUCUAGGACGGUCUCUGCUGUUCUCUGGUGACGUGGAACCAUGACAACCUGAGUGUCGUUAAUGUCUCUAGGACGGUCUCUGCUGUCCUCUGGUGACAGGUGGAACCAUGACAACCUGAGUGUCGUUAAUGUCUCUAGGACGGUCUCUGCUGUUCUCUGGUGACGUGGAACCAUGACAACCUGAGUGUCGUUAAUGUCUCUAGGACGGUCUCUGCUGUCCUCUGGUGACAGGUGGAACCAUGACAACCUGAGUGUCCUUAAUGUCUCUAGGACGGUCUCUGCUGUCCUCUGGUGACAGGUGGAACCAUGACAACCUGAGUGUCGUUAAUGUCUCUAGGACGGUCUCUGCUGUUCUCUGGUGACGUGGAACCAUGACAACCUGAGUGUCGUUAAUGUCUCUCGGACGGUCUCUGCUGUUCUCUGGUGACGUGGAACCAUGACAACCUGAGUGUCGUUAAUGUCUCUCGGACGGUCUCUGCUGUUCUCUGGUGACGUGGAACCAUGACAACCUGAGUGUCGUUAAUGUCUCUAGGACGGUCUCUGCUGUUCUCUGGUGACGUGGAACCAUGACAACCUGAGUGUCGUUAAUGUCUCUAGGACGGUCUCUGCUGUUCUCU